rnacentral:rRNA from 1 species
GAUCAAGCUACGAAGAGCAUAAGGAGGAUGCCUUGGCACUAGGCGCCGAAGAAGGACGUGACAAGCUGCGAAAAGCUACGGGGAGUUGCAAAUGAGCGUAGAUCCGUAGAUAUCCGAAUGGGGGAACCCACACACCGAGGGGUGUGUACUGCUAUAUGAAUACAUAGUAUAGUAGAGGGAACCCGGGGAACUGAAACAUCUAAGUACCCGGAGGAAAAGAAAAUAAAAAAAUGAUUCCCCGAGUAGUGGCGAGCGAAAGGGGAAGAGCCCAAACCUUGGUAUAGUGAUAUACAAAGGGGUAGCGGACUCACGUAACGUACAUCUAGCAUAGACGAAGUUUACUGGAAAGGGACAACAGAGAGGGUGAAAUUCCCGUAGUCGAAAUGUGAUGAUGGCAGUGAGUAUCCAGAGUACCACGGGACACGAGGAAUCUUGUGGGAAUAUGCGGGGACCAUCCCGUAAGGCUAAAUACGACCUAGUGACCGAUAGCGAAUAGUACUGUGAAGGAACGGUGAAAAGAACCCCGGGAGGGGAGUGAAAGAGAACCUGAAACCUUAUGCUUACAAGCAGAUAUAGCACUAUUGGAUAGUGUGGUAUCGUACUUUUUGUAGAACGGGCCGGCGAGUUACGUUGUGUAGCGAGGUUAAGAUAUUAAGUAUCGGAGCCGAAGCGAAAGCGAGUUUUAAUAGGGCGAAUAGUUGCAUGACGUAGACCCGAAACCAGACGACCUAACCAUGAGCAGGUUGAAGCUGCUGUAAAAGGUGGUGGAGGACCGAACACACAUCCGUUGAAAAGGGUGGUGAUGAGGUGUGGGUAGGGGAGAAAUUCCAAUCGAACCCGGAGAUAGCUGGUUCUCCUCGAAAUAGCUUUAGGGCUAGCCUAUGUAGAGAAUACCGAAGGUAGAGCACUGUAUGGUCUAGGGGGCUUCGCGGCUUACCGAAACUUAACAAACUUCGAAUGACGGAUAUUUGAUUACAUGGAGUCAGACAAUGUGAGAUAAGUCUCAUUGUCAAAAGGGAAACAGCCCAGAUCUACAACUAAGGUCCCAAAGUACAAGUUAAGUGGUAAAGGAUGUGUCACUGCUAAAACAACCAGGAUGUUGGCUUAGAAGCAGCCACUCAUUUAAAGAGUGCGUAAUAGCUCACUGGUCGAGUGGUGGUGCGCCGAAGAUUUAUCGGGGCUAAAACUUGUCACCGAAGUUUAGGGAUGUGUUUAGGCACAUCGGUAGAGGAGCAAUCUAUACAGGCAGAAGGCAUACCGGAAGGAGUGUUGGACAGUAUAGAAGAGAGAAUGCCGGCAUAAGUAGCGAGAGCGGGGUGGGAAUCCCCGCCGUCGAAUGUCUAAGGUUUCCUGGGGAAGGCUUGUCCUCCCAGGGUAAGUCGGGACCUAAGCCGAGGCCGAAGGGCGUAGGUGAUGGACAACAGGUAGAUAUUCCUGUACCUCUGAGAGACGCUUAAAUGAAGUAAUGACACAGAAGGAUAGUUGAUACAACACGGUGAUGGAUAGCCGUGGCCAAAUCAUGAGGCUAGUGUGUAGUGAAGUACGCACACUGUUAGGCUAGGUGAUGAUGGGGAAUGAAAAUAGUAAGAAAGACAACGAAUUCACGCUGGCGAGAAAAGUUACUAAAUAUGUCUUAAAGAGCCCGUACCGCAAACCGACACAGGUGGACGAGGAGAAAAUCCUAAGACGGACGAGAGAAUCAUUGUUAAGGAACUCUGCAAAAUGACCCCGUAACUUUGGGAGAAGGGGUGCCAACGAAGGUUGGUCACAGAAAAGAGGCCCAAGCAACUGUUUAGCAAAAACACAGGUCUCUGCGAAAUCGAAAGAUGACGUAUAGGGGGUGACGCCUGCCCAGUGCUGGAAGGUUAAGGGGAAGUGUUAGGAGCAAUCCGAAGCACAGAACUUAAGCCCCAGUGAACGGCGGCCGUAACUAUAACGGUCCUAAGGUAGCGAAAUUCCUUGUCGGGUAAGUUCCGACCCGCACGAAUGGCGUAAUGAUUUGGGCGCUGUCUCAACAGUGAACUCGGUGAAAUUGUAGUAUAUGUGAAGAUGCAUAUUACCCGCGACUGGACGGAAAGACCCCGUAGAGCUUUACUGCAACUUGAUAUUGGAUUUCGGUAAUUAAUGCACAGGAUAGGUGGGAGACUGAGAGACCGGCGUUUCGGCGUCGGUGGAGUCAACGUUGGGAUACCACUCUUUGAUUAUUGAGGUUCUAACUUUGUGCCAUAGAUCUGGGCAAAGGACAGUGUCAGGUGGACAGUUUGACUGGGGCGGUCGCCUCCCAAAGAGUAACGGAGGCGUUCAAAGGUUCUCUCAGAAUGGUUGGAAACCAUUCGUAGAGUGUAAAGGCAGAAGAGAGCUUAACUGAGAGACAGACAUGUCGACCAGAUACGAAAGUAGGACUUAGUGAUCCGGCGGUAGAGAAUGGAAUUGCCGUCGCUUAACGGAUAAAAGUUACCUCGGGGAUAACAGGCUUAUCUCCCCCAAGAGUUCACAUCGACGGGGAGGUUUGGCACCUCGAUGUCGGCUCGUCACAUCCUGGGGCUGGAGUCGGUCCCAAGGGUUCGGCUGUUCGCCGAUUAAAGUGGCACGCGAGCUGGGUUCAGAACGUCGUGAGACAGUUCGGUCCCUAUCCAUCGUGGGCGUAGGAUAUUUGAGAGGCG